GGGCUUGACAUCCCACGAACCUGGCAGAAACGUCGGGGUGCCCGCAAGGGAGCGCGGAGACAGGUGGUGCAUGGUUGUCGUCAGCUCGUGUCGUGAGAUGUUGGGUUAAGUCCCGCAACGAGCGCAACCCUUAUUGUUAGUUGCUACCAUUUAGUUGAGCACUCUAGCGAGACUGCCCGGGUUAACCGGGAGGAAGGUGGGGAUGACGUCAAAUCAUCAUGCCCCUUAUGUCUAGGGCUACACACGUGCUACAAUGGCAAGUACAAAGAGAAGCGAGACCGCGAGGUGGAGCAAAACUCAAAAACUUGUCUCAGUUCGGAUUGCAGUCUGCAACUCGACUGCAUGAAGGUGGAAUCGCUAGUAAUCGCAGAUCAGCAAGCUGCGGUGAAUACGUUCCCGGGCCUUGUACACACCGCCCGUCACAUCACGAAAGUGGGCUGUACUCGAAGUCGCUGAG
rnacentral:rRNA from 1 species